ACACAGCAUGGACAUGAGAGACAACGCUCAGCUCCUGGGGCUUCUGCUGCUCUGGUUCUCAGGUGUGAGAUGUGACAUCCUAAUGACUCAGUCUCCAUCCUUGCUGUCUGCAUCUCUGGGAGACAAAGUUACCAUCACUUGCAAGGCCAGUCAGAACAUUGCUAGUGGGUUAAGUUGGUAUCAGCAGAAACCAGGGGAAGCUCCUAAACUCCUUAUCUACCAUGCAUCCACACUGAAACCUGGGAUCCCAUCAAGGUUCAGUGGCAGUGGAUCUGGUACAGAUUUCACGCUCACCAUCAGUAGACUGGAGCCUGAAGACAUUGCCACUUACUUCUGUCAACAGGGUUAUAAUGCUCCUCCCACAGUGAUUCAAGUCAUAGCAAAAACCUCAUAG